UUAUGAAGUUGGCUGUGGCGCGUUCUCUCUAAUGCCACUUCCUCUCCGAACUCACUUUGUAAACGAUCGUGGAGUCCAUACAUAGGUAAGAGCCGGAGAUUCAAGAAAUACUUGGCACACUUACCCAUGUAAAAAAUUAUCCAAGGAGGGGACCUUAAACGAUGAAUUAGUGUGGCUGAAACAGGGCUCAGGCUAAACAAUUUUUAGUUUAAGGGGUUAUCCGGCUUAGUGUAGACAUAGCCUAAGCUGCAUCUAUUCAGAAAGAAGCUAACAACAAUGGAGAGGUUUUUUUUCAGCUACAUGUUCCAGACAUGUUUUUCUCAGAUGCAGACACAGCAAGUCCACACUGAAAGCAGAGCCAAACCCCCUUCGCCCCCCCCCGGAUCAUUGAUGACGUGCCGACCUACACUGUUCGCCGACUGCUCGACGUGCGCAGACGUGGUCGAGGGUUGCAAUACCUACUGGAUUGGGAGGGGUGUGGCCAGGAGGAGAGGUCCUGGGUUCCGCGCUCUGCCAUCCUCUACCCUGAGAUGGUUCGGGAAUUCCAUCGUCGCCAUCCUGAGAAGCCAGGUGUGCUGCCAAUCUUCCGAGCCCACCUGCUUCCAAUCAACAACCUGUCUUAAAGGGGAGCAGCAGCGGUGCCAGCGUCCGGGAAUCAUUUUUGGUGAUUUAAUCCCCAAUUCCAACCCUUGAUGCU